GUGCUCGCUUCGACAGCACAUAUACUAAAAUUGGAAUGAUACAGAGAAGAUUGGCCCCUGCACAAGGAUGACAUGCAAAUUCGUGAAGCAUUCCAUAUUUAA